rnacentral:rRNA from 1 species
UACGAAGGGGGCUAGCGUUGCUCGGAAUCACUGGGCGUAAAGGGUGCGUAGGCGGGGCUUUAAGUCAGGGGUGAAAUCCUGGAGCUCAACUCCAGAACUGCCUUUGAUACUGAAGAUCUUGAGUUCGGGAGAGGUGAGUGGAACUGCGAGUGUAGAGGUGAAAUUCGUAGAUAUUCGCAAGAACACCAGUGGCGAAGGCGGCUUACUGGCCCGAUACUGACGCUGAGGCACGAAAGCGUGGGGAGCAAACAGG